CAGAGGGAGUGUGUUCUAAGGAUGGGAAAGAAUGCUUCAAUGGAGGAAAAUACGAAACAAGCAAGACUCCCACCACGUGUACUUGUGCAAGCGGUUACAAAGGAGCCACCUGUCAAAAUGCUGGAGGUACGGCGACAAUUUCAGCAUACCUGCUCUCUCUGACUGUUGUCACGUUUUUCGUCAUCCAGUAAACGACCAUUCCACGCUGACCGACACACCCAGUUUGAAACUGCGUUCUGCUAUGUUUACAGCAAAUCAAAGUAUACUAAAUUGUAAAUCUUUAAAAUGACUUGAGUUCAAAGAUAUUUA